rnacentral:rRNA from 1 species
CCUACGGGGUGCUGCAGUGGGGGAUAUUGCACAAUGGGGGGAACCCUGAUGCAGCGACGCCGCGUGGGUGAAGAAGCGCCUCGGCGCGUAAAGCCCUGUCAGCAGGGAAGAAAAGGACGGUAACUGAAGAAGAAGCCCCGGCUAACGACGUGCCAGCAGCCGCGGUAAGACGAAGGGGGCAAGCGUUAUCCGGAGUUACUGGGUGUAAAGGGGGCGCAGCCGGCGAUGCAAGCCAGGAGUGAAAGCCCGGGGCCCAACCCCGGGACUGCUCUUGGAACUGCGUGGCUGGAGGGCAGGAGGGGCAGGCGGACUUCCUGGUGUAGCGGUGAAAUGCGUCGCUCUCCGGAGUAACACCGGUGGCGAAGGCGGCCUGCUGGACUGCAACUGACGUUGCGGCCCGACCGCGUGGGGAGCACACAGGCUUCGCUCCCCGGGUAGUC